rnacentral:rRNA from 1 species
UACAGAGGGUGCAAGCGUUGUUCGGAUUCACUGGGCGUAAAGGGUGCGCAGGUGGGUUGGCAAGUUUGACGUGAAAGCCCCGGGCUUAACCCGGGAAUGGCGUUGAAAACUGCUGAUCUGGAGGAUCGGAGGGGGGACUGGAAUUCUUGGUGUAGCAGUGAAAUGCGUAGAUAUCGGAAGGAACACCUGUGGCGAAAGCGGCUCACUGGACCACAACUGACGCUGAGGUGCGAAAGCGUGGGGAGCAAACAGG